UACAGAGGGGGCAAGCGUUGUCGGAAUUACUGGGCGUAAAGGGCGCGUAGGCGGUCAGCACAAGUCAGUUGUGAAAUCUCCGGGCUUAACUCGGAAAGGUCAACUGAUACUGUGCGACUAGAGUGCGGAGGGGCAACUGGAAUCUCGGUGUAGCGGUGAAAUGCGUAGAUAUCGAGAGGACACCUGGCGGCGAAGGCGGGUUGCUGGGC
rnacentral:rRNA from 1 species